rnacentral:lncRNA from 1 species
AAAUAUUGCAGAAAUUUGGCAUGAAAAAUAGCAGAUGUUUCGCUAGAGUUAAGCUAGCCAACACCCCCCCCCCCCCCUAAGAUGGUGGUGGAAACUGAUGGUGGUGGAAACUGAAGAGCGCAGAUCAUUUGAUCAUUAUUAGCAGCCAAUGCCGUCUACAAGUGGGAAGUAUGUACCCAACUUUAAAUGUAACUUCCUGUCACCAGCUUCAAAAGUUUAUCUGCCACCGAUGCAAUUAUGUUAGCAGUCGAAACCAGCCACCGAUGUAAUUAUACAUUAGCCUAAGGAGU